rnacentral:lncRNA from 1 species
UUGGAGCAGCCUGGCUAGAGAGGUUUGUUGGGGCAUGAGUUUGUUGAGACAGAAUAUCCUUGUUGGCGAUGUUUGUUGUGGCCUGAGUUUGUUGAGGAAGAAUAUCCUUGCUGACGAGAUUUGUUUGGGCCUGAGUUCGUUGAGCUAUUGUGGACGGAUCCGAUGAUAUUGGAAGAGAUGAAGUUCCUGACUUAUGUUUCUCCUGUCCACUAGUACCAUGGGAAACCUCUGUUAUGGAAGGCUCUGACAUUAUAGGAAGAGAUAAAGUUUUGGAUUUGUCCUUCUGUCCGCGGUGCUUUCCUUGCGAGUCGGAAUGCUCAAUAGUUUUCGCCACCAUCGGUGCUACUGCCAUUAGAGAAGAAUCACUUUGUUGCUGAGGCACUUGACGUGGUUGAUAGACCUUUGUGGUUGGUUUUGGGGUUUGCUGACAAGCUCCAUUUGCAUGACCAAAAGAUAAGCAACACUGACAUCGUUGUGGCUUCCAGGAAUAUGAGACAUGUACCUUCCGAGUGUUCCCGUCAAGAUCACG